UUCCAUGUCGUCUAGUGGUUCAGGAUCCCACGUUUUCAUUCUUCUAUAUUGAAAAGCCGUGGUGGCCAGGGUUCGAACCCCUGCAUGGAAG